rnacentral:rRNA from 1 species
AUUGAACGCUGGCGGCAGGCCUAACACAUGCAAGUCGAGCGGAUGAAGGGAGCUUGCUCCUGGAUUCAGCGGCGGACGGGCGAGUAAUGCCUAGGAAUCUGCCUGGUAGUGGGGGAUAACGUCCGGAAACGGGCGCUAAUACCGCAUACGUCCUGAGGGAGAAAGUGGGGGAUCUUCGGACCUCACGCUAUCAGAUGAGCCUAGGUCGGAUUAGCUAGUUGGUGGGGUAAAGGCCUACCAAGGCGACGAUCCGUAACUGGUCUGAGAGGAUGAUCAGUCACACUGGAACUGAGACACGGUCCAGACUCCUACGGGAGGCAGCAGUGGGGAAUAUUGGACAAUGGGCGAAAGCCUGAUCCAGCAAUGCCGCGUGUGUGAAGAAGGUCUUCGGAUUGUAAAGCACUUUAAGUUGGGAGGAAGGGCAGUAAGUUAAUACCUUGCUGUUUUGACGUUACCAACAGAAUAAGCACCGGCUAACUUCGUG